CGCGGAAUGGGAGGGGGAGGGGGAGGAAGGGGGCGGAGGUUCCUCGAAAUCACCGCCUUCCGUGGUUCUCACUGAAAGGACCUGAGAGAAGCAGCAAAGGACAUUGGGGAGGAGACAACCGGCUUGGGAUCUAGGGUGUGUGCGUGCGCGUGCGCGAGCGUGUGCGAGCGCGCAUGGGCGCGUACUAGUUUAGGCUCACUACUUAUGGACACUAGCUCCUCUUCCGGUUUGUCUAGAGACUGCGCAUGCGCAUCACUGGCCUUUAAACGUGCAUCGCCGGUCCAUCCGGUAAAAGGAUCCGGCCAUCGAUUUACAAUUUUGUUCUUCCGCCAAUGAAAUGAACUAUUUUCUCUUAGCCUGAGAAAUGUUUUUAACUAACCACCUCCAAAUAAGGGACAUAUACAACCCGAUUUCUUUCGGUCAUCACAUGAUGAAGGCUUCCUAGGUUUUUUUCUGACUCAAAGUAAACGGAACUCGGAGAGACACCUUGCGGAGGGAUCUGGUUUGUUGUGGUGAGGUACAGAGGUGGGGGGGAGGAGACGCUGACAAACCAAGAUGGCGGUGGCAGCGGUGAAACCUGCCGCGACUGGGACUUAACUGUAGUAGUGAAGGCUUCAGUAGUUGGGAGGCAGCGGUAAGGUGUGGAAGAAACGGAACAGGACUAAGAACCUGUAAAAGGAACCUCAGCCUGAGACUUUUAGAGCACGGCACCCGCCCCCCUAAGCCCUUGACGGGCGGUGGCCGUCCUGCUUAGGGCCUAGACUCCGAGAAGUACCUCGGUUUCAGACAGCGGCGGCGCCAUGCGUCCUUAAGGGCGACCUGAGCCCUCCCGAUCUCUGGCCCAGCCCUCGGGCCCACCAUGGAGCUGGGGUCCGACGAUUUCCUACCGCCGCCGGAGUGUCCGGUGUUCGAGCCUAGCUGGGCCGAGUUCCGAGACCCUCUUGGCUACAUCGCGAAAAUCAGACCCAUCGCCGAGAAGUCCGGCAUUUGCAAGAUCCGCCCACCCGCGGACUGGCAGCCACCCUUUGCCGUGGAAGUGGAUAACUUCAGGUUUACUCCCCGAAUCCAGAGGUUGAAUGAGCUGGAGGCCCAGACAAGAGUGAAACUGAACUAUUUGGACCAGAUUGCCAAAUUCUGGGAGAUCCAGGGCUCAUCCUUAAAGAUUCCCAAUGUAGAACGGCGGAUCUUGGACCUCUAUAGCCUCAGCAAAAUUGUGGUGGAAGAAGGUGGUUAUGAAACUAUCUGCAAGGACCGUCGAUGGGCCCGUGUGGCCCAGCGUCUCAACUACCCACCUGGCAAAAACAUUGGUUCCUUGCUACGCUCUCACUAUGAACGCAUUGUUUAUCCCUAUGAAAUGUACCAGUCUGGAGCCAACCUUGUGCAGUGUAACACACGCCCAUUUGAUAAUGAGGAAAAGGACAAGGAAUAUAAACCCCACAGCAUCCCCCUUCGACAGUCUGUGCAGCCUUCCAAGUUCAACAGUUAUGGACGACGGGCAAAGAGACUACAGCCUGAUCCGGAACCCACAGAGGAAGACAUUGAAAAGAAUCCAGAACUGAAGAAAUUACAGAUAUAUGGAGCAGGCCCCAAGAUGAUGGGGCUGGGCCUAAUGGCCAAAGAUAAGACUCUGCGGAAAAAAGAUAAAGAAGGGCCUGAGUGUCCCCCCACUGUGGUGGUAAAGGAGGAAUUAGGUGGGGAUGUCAAGAUGGAAUCAACCUCACCCAAGACCUUCCUAGAAGGCAAGGAGGAACUGAGUCAUAGCCCUGAGCCCUGCACCAAGAUGACCAUGAGGCUUCGAAGGAACCACAGCAAUGCCCAGUUUAUUGAGUCAUACGUAUGCCGAAUGUGUUCCCGAGGAGAUGAAGAUGACAAACUCUUACUGUGUGAUGGCUGUGAUGACAAUUACCACAUCUUUUGCCUGCUGCCUCCUUUGCCUGAAAUCCCGAAAGGUGUCUGGAGGUGUCCAAAGUGUGUCAUGGCGGAGUGUAAGCGGCCCCCUGAAGCCUUUGGCUUUGAGCAAGCUACCCGGGAAUAUACUCUGCAGAGCUUUGGAGAGAUGGCUGACUCCUUUAAAGCUGACUACUUCAACAUGCCUGUGCAUAUGGUACCCACAGAACUUGUAGAGAAGGAGUUUUGGCGGCUGGUGAAUAGCAUCGAGGAAGACGUAACUGUGGAGUAUGGGGCUGACAUCCAUUCCAAAGAAUUUGGCAGCGGUUUCCCUGUCAGUGACAGUAAGCGGCACCUAACCCCAGAGGAGGAGGAGUAUGCUACAAGUGGUUGGAACCUGAAUGUGAUGCCUGUAUUGGAGCAGUCUGUACUGUGCCACAUCAAUGCAGAUAUAUCUGGCAUGAAGGUACCGUGGCUGUAUGUGGGAAUGGUCUUCUCAGCCUUUUGCUGGCAUAUUGAAGAUCACUGGAGUUACUCUAUUAACUACCUCCACUGGGGUGAGCCAAAAACCUGGUAUGGAGUCCCAUCGCUUGCAGCGGAACACUUGGAAGAAGUGAUGAAGAAGCUGACACCUGAGCUUUUUGAUAGCCAGCCUGAUCUCCUUCACCAACUCGUCACCCUCAUGAAUCCUAACACGCUCAUGUCCCAUGGUGUGCCGGUUGUCCGCACAAACCAGUGUGCAGGAGAAUUUGUCAUCACUUUUCCUCGUGCUUACCACAGUGGUUUCAACCAAGGCUACAACUUUGCUGAGGCAGUCAACUUUUGCACUGCUGACUGGCUGCCUGCUGGGCGCCAAUGCAUUGAGCACUACCGCCGACUACGAAGAUACUGUGUCUUUUCUCAUGAGGAGCUCAUUUGCAAGAUGGCUGCCUGCCCUGAGAAACUGGACCUGAACCUGGCAGCAGCUGUACAUAAGGAGAUGUUCAUUAUGGUGCAAGAGGAGCGGCGUCUACGAAAGGCUCUGUUGGAAAAAGGUAUCACCGAGGCUGAGCGAGAGGCUUUUGAGCUGCUUCCAGAUGAUGAACGUCAGUGCAUAAAGUGCAAGACCACAUGUUUCCUAUCUGCCCUGGCUUGCUAUGACUGCCCAGAUGGCCUUGUCUGCCUUUCUCACAUCAAUGACCUCUGCAAGUGCUCCAGUAGCCGCCAGUACCUUCGGUAUCGGUACACCUUGGAUGAGCUCCCUGCCAUGCUGCAUAAACUGAAAGUUAGAGCUGAGUCCUUUGACACCUGGGCUAACAAAGUACGAGUGGCCCUGGAGGUGGAAGAUGGGCGGAAGCGCAGCCUGGAAGAACUGAGAGCACUAGAAUCUGAGGCUCGUGAGCGAAGGUUUCCUAACAGUGAGCUUCUACAGCGACUGAAAAACUGCCUGAGUGAAGCAGAGGCUUGUGUGUCCCGGGCUCUGGGAUUGGUCAGUGGCCAGGAAGCUGGCCCUGACAGGGUGGCUGGCCUACAGAUGACCCUGGCUGAGCUACGGGAUUUUCUGGGCCAGAUGAACAACCUGCCCUGUGCCAUGCACCAGAUUGGGGAUGUCAAGGGUAUUCUGGAACAGGUGGAAGCCUACCAGACUGAGGCCCGUGAGGCCCUGGUCUCACAGCCUUCCAGUCCAGGGCUGCUGCAGUCCUUGUUGGAGAGAGGACAACAGCUGGGUGUGGAGGUACCUGAAGCCCAGCAGCUCCAAAGGCAGGUGGAACAGGCGCGGUGGCUGGAUGAGGUAAAACGCACGCUGGCUCCCUCUGCCCGAAGGGGUACCCUGGCCAUCAUGCGGGGACUGUUGGUUGCGGGCGCCAGUGUAGCCCCUAGCCCUGCUGUGGAUAAGGCCCAGGCAGAGCUUCAGGAGCUGCUGACCAUCGCUGAACGCUGGGAAGAGAAAGCCCACCUCUGCUUAGAGGCCAGGCAGAAGCAUCCACCAGCCACACUUGAGGCCAUAAUCCAUGAAGCAGAAAACAUCCCUGUUCACUUGCCCAAUAUCCAGUCUCUCAAGGAGGCUCUUGCUAAGGCCCGGGCAUGGAUUGCUGAUGUGGAUGAGAUCCAAAAUGGUGACCACUACCCUUGCUUGGAUGACUUGGAGGGCCUCGUAGCUGUGGGUCGGGACCUCCCUGUGGGGCUGGAGGAACUGAGACAGCUAGAGCUACAGGUAUUGACAGCACACUCCUGGAGAGAAAAGGCCUCCAAGACCUUCCUCAAGAAGAACUCCUGCUAUACAUUAUUGGAGGUGCUCUGCCCGUGUGCAGACGCCGGCUCAGACAGCACCAAACGCAGCCGGUGGAUGGAGAAGGAGCUGGGGUUGUACAAAUCUGACACAGAGCUGUUGGGGCUGUCUGCGCAGGACCUCAGGGACCCAGGCUCUGUGAUCGUGGCCUUCAAAGAGGGGGAGCAGAAGGAGAAGGAAGGGAUACUGCAGCUUCGUCGUACCAACUCAGCCAAGCCAAGUCCACUGGCACUGUUGACAACAGCCUCCUCUACAGCUUCUAUCUGCGUGUGUGGGCAAGUGCCAGCUGGGGUGGGAGCUCUGCAGUGUGACCUGUGUCAGGACUGGUUCCAUGGGCGCUGUGUGACAGUACCCCGCCUCCUCAGCUCCCAGAGGUCCAGUCUUCCCUCAUCCCCACUGCUGGCCUGGUGGGAAUGGGACACCAAAUUCUUGUGCCCUCUGUGUAUGCGCUCACGGCGCCCACGCUUGGAAACCAUCCUGGCACUGCUGGUAGCCCUACAGAGACUGCCUGUGCGGCUGCCUGAGGGUGAGGCUCUACAGUGCCUCACAGAGAGAGCCAUCAGCUGGCAAGGCCGUGCCAGACAGGUUUUGGCCUCUGAGGAAGUGACUGCUCUGUUGGGACGGCUGGCUGAACUGCGCCAACGGCUACAGGCUGAAUCCAAGCCUGAGGAGUCCCUGGCUUACCCUUCAGAUGGUGGAGAGGGCACUGGCAAUAUGCCGAAGAUCUGGAGCUGCUAUCCUCAAUAUUACCACAGUUGUCUGGCCCUGUGUUGGAACUGCCUGAGGCAACCCGAGCCCCACUGGAGGAACUUAUGAUGGAAGGGGAUCUGCUUGAGGUGACCCUAGAUGAGAAUCAUAGCAUCUGGCAGCUGCUGCAGGCUGGGCAGCCUCCAGACUUGAAGAGGGUCCAGACACUUCUGGAGCUGGAGAAGGCAGAGCGCCAUGGGAGUCGGACACGAGGCCGAGCCCUAGAGAGGAGACGACGGAGGAAGGUGGAUCGGGGUGGGGAGCCGGAUGACCCGGCACGAGAGGAGCUAGAGCCAAAGAGGGUACGAAGCUCAGGACCAGAAGCCGAGGAAGUCCAGGAGGAAGAGGAGCUGGAGGAGGAGACUGGGGGUGAGGUCCCUCCUGUACCCUUCCCCAACAGUGGCAGCCCCAGCAUCCAGGAGGACCAGGAUGGCUUAGAACCAGUGUUAGAGGCUGGUUCUGACACCUCAGCCCCUUUCUCUACUCUGACUUCCCGGCUGUUGAUGUCCUGCCCACAGCAGCCAUCUCUGCAACAAUUGUGACAGUGGCUGAGCCUAGCACAGACCCCAACAAAGAUCCUUCCUUGGCCUCAAGGAUCCUUUCUGACCAUCAAGCCUGCUUCUUGGAGGUGGGCGGGUAGGUGGAGAGACUUCCCCCUCACCACCAUCCCCAAGAUCGUGACUUUUAUAUUCUGACUCCAAGGUAUUGUUCAGACCUCAGCUCCUGGGGGCCGGCCCCUGGAGUCCUGCGUCCCUGGUAACCUCUAACCAGCAUUCCCAGACACCAGAGGCAGAUAGACAGGUGGGCAGGGGAUCUACUGGGGCUGGGCCAGCACCAUUCCAGAGACAAAUCCAGGGCACAUGCAAACUGGGGGACCUCUCCCUUAUCCCCAGUUCUGACCCUGGGUCAGGCCAUGCUACACUAACCUUCCCUCCCCACUUCACACUUUUGCUCCCCCCCCCCUCCCAGUCCAUUUUACUUCUUUCCUCUCCCCUUCAUCUUUUCCCUUCCCCUUACUGUUCCACCCAGGAGGAGGAAACUUCACAUAGCUGUCCUCACCCUUUUAUUUUAAAUGAAUUUUGUUGGGGUUGAGCAGGGCUGCCUAUGGUCUGAAGGCUUUUGGUGCUUGUCCACACACCCACCUCAACCCUUCCUGCCCAUCCUCCCCUAUCUCCUUUCCUCCUCCUGGGUUCAUGCUGUAAUAAAGAAGAUUGUUGGUGUGUAAUUAAUUUGUUCAAAAGGAGAAAAAAAAAAGCAAAACAAACUUUGUUUCAACUAAAGCCUAUUUUAAUUUUAUUUUAUUAUUUUCCUCAUUAGAAAUAAAACCCUUAGGAAUGUUUUUUUUUUUUUUUUUUUUGGAAACAUGUUUCUGAAGUGCAUUUCUCUUCAAAAAGAGAGCAGAACCUUCCUCGCCUGUUAGUGGAGCAGCUGCAGUGCCAGUUAGUAGUAGUGCCAGGGCCAGGGAAGCAGGGCUCUGAAUUCAAAUCUCACCAACUUCUCUCUAACCUUGGAAAAGAUAUCCUUCCUGGUCUUCCCCCAAGCCAUUGCAGACUGGUGGGCACUGGCCCCCUUUGAUAAUUUGCACGACAGCUUCCCCUAGCUUUGUGCUCUUGAUUUUCUAUUCUCUGGGGGACUUUUUCUUCAUGGCUUUAUUGAGGUAGAGUUUCCAUGCUAUAAAGUUGAGCUGUUUUAAAUAUGUAAUUUGGUGAGUCAGACCAUCCUUGGUGUUUCUCCAUUAGUUCUUCCUGCCCCUAAUGAAUGUGUGGUUAAUUUGUAACGUCUGUGUCACUGUUAAACUGCUCUGUUGAGAUGAAAUGUGCAUAGAUACAGUUCAUCCACUUCAAGUAUACAAUUCAGUGACUUUUAGUAUAUUUCAGUCAUUGAAUCACUGCAAAAAGUUUAGACUGUUUUUACAACCCCAGAAGACAUUGCCUAGGUAGUCCCUCCUUCCUCCCAUUUGUCUCUUCUGGACAUUUUAUAUAAAUGAAAUGAUACAAUAUGCGCUCCUUUUGUGUCUGCCUUCUUUGACUUAGCCUAUUAACAGUCCUACAGUAGUUGUAUUUUCGCCCUUCUGAGCCUGAAAGAAGGGACUACGCUUGAUCAGGGACUGACCUCUGAAAUACAUUUAUACAUGUUUUUGUGGGUAUCUAUAUGCAUUUUUCUCAGAUUAAGACCCACCAGAUUGCAUCAUAUUCAUGAAGGAACCAUAACCCUCUAAAGACUAAGAACAUUCUUAUGGUUCUGAGAGUUCUCUGUCCAGAGUUUACCUAGGAGAUAUAGGAGGAAGCAAAAGCUUGGAGGCCCUGUUUUCACUAGCUAACUUCCAGGCAUCCCUGGCUUCUCCAAGGUUUUUCCUCUUCUCAAGGUUGUAUGAGGUGUUACAGGCUAAAGUCAAGUCUUGAUCCCUAGCUCAGGAACUCAGCACACCAGCACUCUUACUUUGCCCUUCCUCAUUUAUAUGUUCAGAAGGAUUAUUUUGCUCCAUUUCUCCCCUUUCCCAGGAUUUCCAGUUGCUAGAAAUGUAGUGAUAUAUCUCACUCACCCUCUUUGGGUGGCUUUCAGGGGUGGGAGCAUGGCUUAGACCUCCCUGCCUUAUGAGUCUUUUAGUCUAUGCUGAAAGGUAAACACCAGGAAACAGGGAGUACCCCUGCCCCAGGUCCACUUUGAUACUAAGUUUCAAUCAAGGGUCUUGCCUUUGCCCAGCCAUUGGUUUCCAGUGAGAGUUGGAGGUAGCAGAAGAGACACCCAAAGGAGCUUGAUCUUGAUACUUUACUACCACUCUAGUCCAGGAAGCUAGGCACAGGAAGAAGCGGCCAAAGGAAAGGUAAAGAUGGUGCCUACAACAUCUCCUAGGCUAGUGAACUUCUCAGGCCAAGUAGGGGUCCUUUGUGGUAUGGGCCUGUCCCUUACCAAUUUUCAGGCAGCCGUUCGCAGCAUUUCCCUGACAUAUCCCUUAUACACUUUCUGCUCCUUUCACAGUGUCCAUGUAGCCAUUUUUGAUUCAAAACUGUCUUAAUUAGGUUUCUGUUGCUGUGAUAAAACACCACGGCCAAAAACAACUUGGGGAAGAAAGGGUUUAUUUCAUCUUAUAGCUUGUAGUCCAUCCAGGGAAGGAGGCAGGAGCCUAGAGGCAGGAGUUGAUGCAGAGGCCAUGGAGGAGUGCUGCUUACUGGCUUGCUCAUCAUGACUUGCUCAGCCUACAUACUGCACCCAGGACCACCAGCCCAGGGAUGGCACAGCCCUGUGAGCUAGGUCCUGCAAUAUCAGACGUCAAUAAAGAAAAUGCACCCUGGGCUUGCCCAAAGGCCAAUCUGAAGGGGGCCAUUUUUCAAUUGGGCUUUCCCUCCUCCUCUGGGAGAGCACCGAGUGGGCAAGUUUUACCUCAGAGUCAUUUAGUUUACAGACACCAUCUUGCUGCUACAUCCUACCAGACAGUUCACUCCUGCCAGGGUAGCACCUGAGGAUGCAGGGGUGGAAAGAGAUACUGCUUCUAUUAAGGACAAAUCUCUCUCCCUCCUCCCCUGUUCCCCAUUCUCCUCUCUUACUGAGACAGAGUCAGUAUCCCUGGCUGUCCUGGAACUCACUAUGUAGGCCAGGCUGGCCUCAAACUCACAGGAGGCCUGCCUCUGCCUCCUGAGUGCUUGGAUUAAAGAUGUGCCACCACAUCCAGCAUCUAAAUUCCUCUCUUGGCCCAACUCUGCAUUUCUUCCUGUGUAGCUUUUCAGUGUCUCCACUGUGCCUUAAAUCAUGUCCAAACACUAGGUUUAGUGAGUUUUUUUCCCCAAUCUACCUGAAAGUACCUAUUCUGAGAGUUCCUGGAGGAGAAAAACAAGAACCAGGUCUGAGUCCUCUGCUACUUCAAGGCUGGGGGUUGGGAGGGUGGGAAUCUUGUAUGGUCAGUUCAGAAAGAGGCAGAUCAAGCAGCAUUUCCAGCCCUACACUGCUUGUGAAUUCUGUUCCUUAUGCACUGUAUGAAGUCUGCUGAUCCAGGAUGACACUCUGGAAGUCAUUUGGGUCUGGACCAAGACCACCAGAGCCCUGAAAGAGAAACAUUAACCAUGUGUCCUAGACCUGAAAUUAGGGGGUGCUUAAAUCCUGGGUGCCACACUCAAGUAUGUAAGAUACUUGGCAAGUUCUGAGUAAGCAUAUAAGGAAUAGACCCCUAGGAUAAUACGCUGGGCCCAGCCAAAACAUGACAGGGUUGUAAUAACCAUUUUCGAUGCAAAAUAAAGCCCUAUUUAUUUCAGAGGGGGGUCUAAGUAUGGUGUGCCACCAGGCUAUUGUUCAUAAUGGAACUGUUAGUCAACUGGGACAUCAGCAAUGCCAGCUAGGUAGAAGCUUGUAUUGCUAUUGUUCUGUGGCAUCAUUGCCAUGCCUGUCUGUGUUCAGUGUGUAUUACUGUAAAGCAGUAACAUGGUUGGCACAUACCUUUAAAACCAAACCUAUGGAAGUAAGAGCAGGUAAGAUUGCAAAUUUGAAACUAGCCUGAGUUGUAGAAUGGGACCCUGUCUCAAACAAAAGUCAAAACUGCCAUUUAGCUGACUUCAAGGUCAUUCACAGGCAUCCAUCAAGAUGUCAGCCAGUGCAGCUGUCAUCUUCUGGCAUAUUGGGUUAGGAUGUACUUAGAAGUUCUGUAGUUGGCAGGACUCAGUUUCUUACAAGUUCAGUUUCUUGAAUGUGGGUGGAUUUUUCACAGGGCAGCUCACAAUAUGGCUGAUUGCUUCAUGAGAUCAAGAUGGGCAAGAAACAGAAAUGACUAUCUCAGAAAUAACAUUCCAUUGUUUUUGCAAUUGACAAUAUUAAUUAGAAGCCAUUAGGAGGGGAAAGGGGGGAAGGUCUAGACCAUAUUCAGAAGGAAGGAAUUAAGAGGAUGGGGUUCAUUGGGGGGGUCAUCUUGGAAAUGAACUAUUAUGGUUUGCUCUCUGAUACUUAAUUUCAUUAAUGUUCCAUCCAUGUACAAAAUAUAUCUACUCCUUAAGUUUUCUUAAGUCCCAUCCCAUUACUGCAUAACCUCAAAGGUGCUAAAUAUGAAUGAAUUGCCUUGGGCACAAUCCCUACAUAUGGCUCAAGUACUGUUUUUCUCUAUGGAUGGAACUGUGAAAUGUAAAAAUACGCAUUAUCCGUCCCUACCACUUCCUAAUAUACAAUGGUGGGAAGGCAUAUACAGACAUUCCAGUUCAAAAAGGGCAAAGGAUAUGUGUGUGCCUGUAGCAGUUGGAAACAGGAGCUGUUUCCAAACUGGUCCGUUACAAGUUAAAUCCAUCUGGGCAUAUGAAGUUCCUUGAAUUGAUUCCAAAACUGAGGAUGGUUUUUCAUACCCCUGUCUCUGCUUUCUGGGCUCUUGCUGUCACCUGUGAUUUUUUUCAUGAGAGGUAGCACAUGCUUGCAACCAAGAUUUUUUUUUCUGUUUCCUGCCAGAAUUUUGGAGGGCCAGGACUGACUUCUUGCAGUGCAUGUGUAAUCAAUUAUCAUCAAGGCAAAGGACUUCUUUUUGGCAUGUUGAGCAUUCAACAGUAAACUACAAUGAGAUUGGCCUUCAGGGCAACCCUGACUUAGAGCCCAUGCCUGCUAUCAUGGCCACUUUGUUCAGAAGCCUAUUGGCAAAGAUAACGGUGACAGGAUAGAGAUUGGCCACACCCAUAGAAUGGAAUAUCUCUUUUGAGAUUUUCUAUACUGGUGCUUGUUUACGUGGGUCAUGAAAAUUCUCACUGUGCUCAUUCCAAAAUGGACAGCUAUUUGCAUAGGCCUUUUUCCUCAGAUGUCUCUUCAACAUUUCAGUCUUGUUAUUUCCAAAUCCUUGACUGUAUGCAGACAUGAACCAGCAAGCUGUCUAUGCUUUUGACUGUUUCUGUAAUAGUAACCCAAAGUGGAGCUGUAACUCUGAAACUAGCCACUUGUAGCAGAGGCUAGCAUGUCCUGCAGAACAUCUGUAAGCCAAGCGUGAAUAUUGUAUCCCUCAGUUGUCUGGUCUCAAGGAAACUCCCCAUGGGGUCUCAAAGGAGGAAAAAAGGAUGACAAUGUAGCAAGUGUGAGUUUCCAGACCUGCACAUAAUUUUAGCGGACAUGAUGGAACAGUUGCAAAUUAUUGUUUGAUGUCAUGGACUCAGAUGUUCAUUUGAGAAAAUGAAAAAGUCCACUUUUCUAUUUUUAUUUUUCUUUGCUUCUGAGAUCUUGCUACUUGCAGUUUUGCCCUCCAUUUUUGUUUGUUUUGUCUUAUAAAUAUGUUGUAUCUUGGGCCAGUGAGAUGGCCCAGUGGGUAAAAGUACUUGCUACACGAGCCUGGUGGCCUGAAUUCAAUCCCAGGGAUCCACGCGGUAAGAGAGAAUCAACUCAUGCAAGUUGUCCUGGUCACCAUUUGUGUGCGUGCACACAUAAAAUAGAUGUAAUAAAAAUAAUUUUUAAAA